AUUUCGGAUACUUUUGUUCAGUUGUUGAGGCCCGUCCCUUCUCCCACGUCCUCUUUGGUUUAGUUGAAUCUGAAAAAUAUUUGAAUAGUCAUGAAUCAAGAAGGGUGCUCAAGCA